UACGUAAGGACCGAGCGUUGUCCGGAAUCAUUGGGCGUAAAGGGUACGUAGGCGGUUAGAAAAGUUAGAAGUCAAAGGCUAUAGCUCAACUAUAGUAAGCUUCUAAAACAGAAUACCUUGAGAGAUGGAAGGGAAAGUGGAAUUCCUAGUGUAGCGGUGGAAUGCGCAGAUAUUAGGAAGAAUACCGGUGGCGAAGGCGACUUACUGGGCUCAUUCUGACGCUGAGGCACGAAAGCGUGGGUAGCAAACAGG
rnacentral:rRNA from 1 species